rnacentral:rRNA from 1 species
AACUCCGUGCCAGCAGCCGCGGUAAUACGGAGGAUGCAGGCGUUAUCCGGAUUUAUUAGGUUUAAAGGGUGUUCAGGCUGUCUGGUAAGUCAGAGGUGAAAGUCGGUUGCUUAACGAUCGAAUUGCGCUUUGAAACUGUCAGACUUGAGUAUGGAUGUGGUAGNCGGAAUGUGUAGUGUANCGGUGAAAUGCAUAGAUAUUACACAGAACUCCAAUUGCGAAAGCAGCUUACCAAACCAGCACUGACGCUGAAGCACGAAAGCGUGGGUAGCGAACAGGAUUAGAUACCCUGGUAGUCCACGCAGUAAACGAUGCUCACUCGCUGUUGGCAAUACACCGUCAGCGGCUAAGGGAAACCGAUAAGUGAGCCACCUGGGGAGUACGAUCGCAAGAUUGAAACUCAAAGGAAUUGACGGGGGCCCGCACAAGCGGUGGAACAUGUGGUUUAAUUCGAUGAUACGCGAGGAACCUUACCUGGGCUUAAAUGUGAAGUGCAUUGUUUGGAAACAGACAUUUCCUUCGGGACUCUUUACAAGGUGCUGCAUGGUUGUCGUCAGCUCGUGCCGUGAGGUGUCGGGUUAAGUCCCAUAACGAGCGCAACCCCUAUUGUUAGUUACCAGCGCGUCAAGGCGGGGACUCUAACGAGACUGCCGGUGUAAACCGCGAGGAAGGUGGGGAUGACGUCAAAUCAGCACGGCCCUUAUGUCCAGGGCUACACACGUGUUACAAUGGUCGGUACAGAGGGCAGCUAGGCAGCGAUGUCAAGCGAAUCUCGAAAGCCGAUCCCAGUUCGGAUUGGAGUCUGCAACCCGACUCCAUGAAGGUGGAAUCGCUAGUAAUCGCGCAUCAGCCAUGGCGCGGUGAAUACGUUCCCGGGCAUUGUACACACCGCCCGUCAAGCCAUGGAAGUCUGGGGUGCAUGAAGGCCGUAACCGCAAGGAGCGGUCUAGGGUAAACAGAUGACUG